UCCUUCCUUGUCUUGGGGAGCAGAAAUGUUCAAUGAACGUCUAGUGAGGACAUUGCUGCUGACACCAAUGAUAUAACAUUACCCCCGUUCGCUGAUCUCUUCGAUUAGCGUUCGGAAUUUUUGGAGAA